rnacentral:lncRNA from 1 species
CUAAAAAGUAAGGUUUCUGUGAAAGUUUACAAGGAACUGCUGUCUCUCACUGAAUCCUAAACAUGAGAUUUCUAACAAGACUGGACAGAAGAAUACCUGUUAUUAUUAUGUCCACUGUAAUGCAACACACUGGGGACAAUGACAUUAUAAGAAAUUUACAAAUAGAUAAGCUGAUAAUGAAACUAAACAAUUUAAAUGGCAAGCU